ACGGGAGGCAGCAGUGGGGAAUAUUGGACAAUGGGGGAAACCCUGAUCCAGCGACGCCGCGUGAGUGAAGAAGUAUUUCGGUAUGUAAAGCUCUAUCAGCAAGGAAGAAAAUGACGGUACUUGACUAAGAAGCCCCGGCUAACUACGUGCCAGCAGCCGCGGUAAUACGUAGGGGGCAAGCGUUAUCCGGAUUUACUGGGUGUAAAGGGAGCGUAGACGGCAAAGCAAGUCUGAAGUGAAAUCCCGGGGCUCAACCCUGGAACUGCUUUGGAAACUGUUUAGCUAGAGUGCAGGAGAGGUAAGUGGAAUUCCUAGUGUAGCGGUGAAAUGCGUAGAUAUUAGGAGGAACACCAGUGGCGAAGGCGGCUUACUGGACUGUAACUGACACUGAGGCACGAAAGCGUGGGGAGCAAACAGGAUUAGAUACCCUGGUA
rnacentral:rRNA from 1 species